GAGUUUAACACUUCAUGAUUGAGAGCUGCCCUUCACGGCAACAGAAUCCACAAUAACAAUGACUUUUAUCAGCAUCUUCAUCUGGGCACUUGUCAUCUGCACUCAGGAAUCCAGCGGACAAUAUACUCUGACUCAGACUCCAGCAGUGAAAUCUGUUCUCCCAGGAGACACAGUCGUUCUCAGCUGUAAAGUCAGCAGCGCAGUGUACAGUAACAACCGCCUAGCCUGGUACCAACAGAAACCUGGAGAAGCUCCCAAACUCCUGAUCUACUUGGCAAGUACCCUUCAGUCUGGGAUCCCAACUCGUUUCAGUGGCAGUGGAUCUGGGACUGACUUCACUCUGACCAUCAGUGGAGUCCAGGCUGAAGAUGCAGGAGAUUACUACUGUGAGAGUUACCACUACCUCAACAGUAAAGAUGUGUUCACACAGUGCUACACACCCGUACAAAAACCUCCCUCAGCAGGACUGCACAGCGACUGCACUGCUGCAGUCCUUCGGAGGCGGCCGCUGAUUGUCAGUGAAGAGAUCCAGCAGGGGGUGGUGGUUCCUGCAUCGGUGGGAGGAAAAGGAAGCGGACCGAUCCAGUACAGAGAAGCCGUCUAA